rnacentral:rRNA from 1 species
UGGGGAAUAUUGGACAAUGGGCGCAAGCCUGAUCCAGCCAUACCGCGUGGGUGAAGAAGGCCUUCGGGUUGUAAAGCCCUUUUGUUGGGAAAGAAAUCCAGCUGGCUAAUACCCGGUUGGGAUGACGGUACCCAAAGAAUAAGCACCGGCUAACUUCGUGCCAGCAGCCGCGGUAAUACGAAGGGUGCAAGCGUUACUCGGAAUUACUGGGCGUAAAGCGUGCGUAGGUGGUCGUUUAAGUCCGUUGUGAAAGCCCUGGGCUCAACCUGGGAACUGCAGUGGAUACUGGGCGACUAGAGUGUGGUAGAGGGUAGCGGAAUUCCUGGUGUAGCAGUGAAAUGCGUAGAGAUCAGGAGGAACAUCCAUGGCGAAGGCAGCUACCUGGACCAACACUGACACUGAGGCACGAAAGCGUGGGGAGCAAACAGGAUUAGAUACCCUGGUAGUCCA